rnacentral:rRNA from 1 species
UGGUGUAGCGGUGGAANGCACAGAUAUCAGGAGGAACACCGAUGGCGAAGGCAGGUNUCUGGGCUGUAACUGACGCUGAGAAGCGAAAGCAUGGGGAGCGAACAGGAUUAGAUACCCUGGUAGUCCAUGCCGUAAACGUUGGGCACUAGGUGUGGGGGACAUUCCACGUUUUCCGCGCCGUAGCUAACGCAUUAAGUGCCCCGCCUGGGGAGUACGGCCGCAAGGCUAAAACUCAAAGGAAUUGACGGGGGCCCGCACAAGCGGCGGAGCAUGCGGAUUAAUUCGAUGCAACGCGAAGAACCUUACCAAGGCUUGACAUGCAUUAGAUCGCGUCAGAGAUGGCGUUUCCCUUCGGGGCUGGUGUACAGGUGGUGCAUGGUUGUCGUCAGCUCGUGUCGUGAGAUGUUGGGUUAAGUCCCGCAACGAGCGCAACCCUCGUUCUAUGUUGCCAGCGGUUCGGCCGGGGACUCAUAGGAGACUGCCGGGGUCAACUCGGAGGAAGGUGGGGAUGACGUCAAAUCAUCAUGCCCCUUAUGUCUUGGGCUUCACGCAUGCUACAAUGGCCGGUACAGAGGGUUGCGAUACUGUGAGGUGGAGCUAAUCCCUUAAAGCCGGUCUCAGUUCGGAUUGGGGUCUGCAACUCGACCCCAUGAAGUCGGAGUCGCUAGUAAUCGCAGAUCAGCAACGCUGCGGUGAAUACGUUCCCGGGCCUUGUACACACCGCCCGUCAAGUCACGAAAGUUGGAACACCCGAAGCCGGUGGCCUAACCCUUUUUUGGGAGGGAGCUGUC